rnacentral:rRNA from 1 species
AAGUCGUAACAAAGGUUUCUGUAGGUGAACCUGCAGAAGGAUCAUUAGUGAAGAUUUGGGCUGGCCAUACGGACGCCAAAAAGUGUCCCUGGCCGCCCUACCACCCCACUAUACAUCCACAAACCCGUGUGCACUGUCUUGGAGAAAGGCUUCAGAGAAGUUUUUUGUGGCCUCUCUUGGGGUCUUUCUUCGCUCCAAACUCGAAUGGUUAGUAUGAACGUGGAACUUGGUUGGACCGUCACUGGCCAACAAACUAUACACAACUUUCGACAACGGAUCUCUUGGUUCUCCCAUCGAUGAAGAACGCAGCGAAACGCGAUAGGUAAUGUGAAUUACAGAAUUCCGUGAAUCAUCGAAUCUUUGAACGCACCUUGCGCUCUAUGGCAAUCCGUAGAGCAUGCCUGUUUGAGUGCCAUGAAAUCUCCCACCCCAAGCGGUUUUUACAUGAAACGGCUUGGCGGAUGGGGUCUGGAUGGGUGCCUCUGCCUGCGCUACCUAGCACAGGCUCGCCCGAAAUGCAUGAGCGCCUUGAGACACUUUGCAUCCGCCUCUCUGUUUGGGAGGAGGCGGCCAAGCAGUGUUUUUCUCCUGGCAUGGCAUGAUACGUCAUUUGCUAUGUCGCCUAAAGGAGGAAUGUUUGGUUGUGUCUGCGUGUGCUUCGAACUUGCCUCUGUGGCACAUCCCAAUUUCACUUCUGGUCUCAAAUCAGGUAGGAUCACCCGCUGAACUUAA